CUAGACAGGCUACAGGGGUGGGCGGAUGAGAACAGGAUGGGUUUCAACACUGACAAGGGCAAGAUACUGCACCUGCGGAGGAAGAAUCAGCACCAUACCUACAGGCUGGGGAACUCCCUUCUCAUCAGUGCAGAGGCAGAAAAGGAUCUUAGAGUCA